UACGGAGGGUGCAAGCGUUGUCCGGAUUUAUUGGGUUUAAAGCGCGUGUAGGCGGUUGUCCAAGUUGGAUGUGAAAGCCUUGAGCUUAACUCAAGAAAUGCAUUCAGGACUGGAUGACUAGAGGACCGGAGAGGAUAGUGGAAUUCCCAGUGUAGUGGUGAAAUACGUAGAGAUUGGGAAGAACACCAGUGGCGAAGGCGGCUAUCUGGACGGUUUCUGACGCUAAGACGCGAAAGCGUGGGGAGCAAACAGG
rnacentral:rRNA from 1 species